rnacentral:lncRNA from 1 species
UUGGCAGCUUGAAUUAACAUAUAAGAUACAUAAAUAAGUAUAAUUUACACACAAAAUAUUCAUAUAAUACAAUACAAAAGAUACACAUACGAAUAAUCUAAAUAAAGCGGGCCUAAAAGAAAUAACAAAAUGCGCCAAACAACCCGCCAAAAAAGAUUAACAAAAACAAAUUGUACACACACGCAAAUAGAAGAAUUGAAACCCAAGGAAUGAGACACUUCCUUGUAAGUUCCAGUUGAAUAUAAAAGGAAUAAGAAACUUCCUUUAUACGACACACCCAGAGAAUAUGACGG